rnacentral:misc_RNA from 1 species
UGCAGUUAUAUUUACUGUACAUUGUCCUAAACUUGCAGGAAGCUGUACAGUUGCAUUUACUUGAAUCUGUACUCCUGGAUUAGAAUUUAAAACCAUGGAGUUACUAUUUUCAGAAACUUGAAAGUUAUUUGAUUUAACAUGAUAAAGUUUCUGAACAUUAUUACAACAACAAUUAAAAUUUCGAUCUUGAUCUAAUUCUUGACCAUUUCCUUUCGAACUUUUAGCUUGUUGAAAUUGCAUGACCGGCACAUUAGUCACUUGAAAAUUUGACAAAACCGAUUUUGCUUCACAAUUUUCAAAUGAAGUUCCCCCUUCUGCUUUUUGCGGUAGGAUAUUUCUUCGAGUCCCUGGUAAUUCCUGACAACCACUUGGGGGUAUUAAAAACAUCCUUUUAUCUUGAUAAUGUCUUUUGCACGAAACAUCCACCACCAGACAAUUUUGGACGGAUUUCCAUAUGUGGUGCUUGCAUAAGAGUUCCAGAAUCUGUACUCUGAAUUAAACAGCCUCCGGAUUGUAUACUUGGUGUUGUAAUUGUUACACUUCCUCCAGUUAAAUCACAACUUGUGGUGAUUUGACAUCCAGAACCAUUUUUUUGGAUUUCUUCAUUAAUUAACGGAAAUCCAAGAACUUGUGUAUUUUUUUCAAAUUUUUGGAGGAAACCUUCCUUUUGUUUAUCGAUUCUUGGUUUUUCCAAAUCAAGUGUCAUUGAUGGAAAGUUGAAGGAAUUGAUAACAGGUUGUAUAAUAGUUGGUGCAUUUAUAAAACAACCACCACCACUAUUAUAGCCUUCAGGAACUAACAGGCCACCAUAAUAACAGGUUGUUGGAUGAAUUACAGUAUUAUCUUUAUCCAUAUUUUGAGCUCUGCAACAACCUGGAGCUGGAAAUCGGUGACGACAGUUUGGGCACAUUACUGUCAACAUUUUUUGUAAAACUACUUUGUUUUCAGCAUAACAGUCUUGUAUCUGUAAACAGAAAAAACAAAGAUCAUUUUAAUAUUUUGAUGAAACUAGAAACAUGUACAGUAUAAAAAUAUUCUAAAAUAUAAAGCAUAUAAAAUAUUAUAAAUAUUCAAUCUGAAUAUAUAAGAAAUAUUUCUUUAAUAACAUUUGAUUUAUAAUUAUUAAAUUAUACAAAAGUCAGAUUUAAUAAUAGCAAAAAUCAAUUUAAAAUACGAUAAAAACAAAUUAUUAUAAUUAGGAAAACACACAUAAUUAUUUAGUAAUAUUAUUUGAGCGAAAUCAUCUAGAUUUAAGGUAUAUUAUUAUAAAUU